rnacentral:rRNA from 1 species
AUAAUGGGUCAGCGACUUAUAUUCUGUAGCAAGGUUAACCGAAUAGGGGAGCCGAAGGGAAACCGAGUCUUAACUGGGCGUUAAGUUGCAGGGUAUAGACCCGAAACCCGGUGAUCUAGCCAUGGGCAGGUUGAAGGUUGGGUAACACUAACUGGAGGACCGAACCGACUAAUGUUGAAAAAUUAGCGGAUGACUUGUGGCUGGGGGUGAAAGGCCAAUCAAACCGGGAGAUAGCUGGUUCUCCCCGAAAGCUAUUUAGGUAGCGCCUCGUGAAUUCAUCUCCGGGGGUAGAGCACUGUUUCGGCAAGGGGGUCAUCCCGACUUACCAACCCGAUGCAAACUGCGAAUACCGGAGAAUGUUAUCACGGGAGACACACGGCGGGUGCUAACGUCCGUCGUGAAGAGGGAAACAACCCAGACCGCCAGCUAAGGUCCCAAAGUCAUGGUUAAGUGGGAAACGAUGUGGGAAGGCCCAGACAGCCAGGAUGUUGGCUUAGAAGCAGCCAUCAUUUAAAGAAAGCGUAAUAGCUCACUGGUCGAGUCGGCCUGCGCGGAAGAUGUAACGGGGCUAAACCAUGCACCGAAGCUGCGGCAGCGACACUGUGUGUUGUUGGGUAGGGGAGCGUUCUGUAAGCCUGCGAAGGUGUGCUGUGAGGCAUGCUGGAGGUAUCAGAAGUGCGAAUGCUGACAUAAGUAACGAUAAAGCGGGUGAAAAGCCCGCUCGCCGGAAGACCAAGGGUUCCUGUCCAACGUUAAUCGGGGCAGGGUGAGUCGACCCCUAAGGCGAGGCCGAAAGGCGUAGUCGAUGGGAAACAGGUUAAUAUUCCUGUACUUGGUGUUACUGCGAAGGGGGGACGGAGAAGGCUAUGUUGGCCGGGCGACGGUUGUCCCGGUUUAAGCGUGUAGGCUGGUUUUCCAGGCAAAUCCGGAAAAUCAAGGCUGAGGCGUGAUGACGAGGCACUACGGUGCUGAAGCAACAAAUGCCCUGCUUCCAGGAAAAGCCUCUAAGCAUCAGGUAACAUCAAAUCGUACCCCAAACCGACACAGGUGGUCAGGUAGAGAAUACCAAGGCGCUUGAGAGAACUCGGGUGAAGGAACUAGGCAAAAUGGUGCCGUAACUUCGGGAGAAGGCACGCUGAUAUGUAGGUGAAGCGACUUGCUCGUGGAGCUGAAAUCAGUCGAAGAUACCAGCUGGCUGCAACUGUUUAUUAAAAACACAGCACUGUGCAAACACGAAAGUGGACGUAUACGGUGUGACGCCUGCCCGGUGCCGGAAGGUUAAUUGAUGGGGUUAGCGCAAGCGAAGCUCUUGAUCGAAGCCCCGGUAAACGGCGGCCGUAACUAUAACGGUCCUAAGGUAGCGAAAUUCCUUGUCGGGUAAGUUCCGACCUGCACGAAUGGCGUAAUGAUGGCCAGGCUGUCUCCACCCGAGACUCAGUGAAAUUGAACUCGCUGUGAAGAUGCAGUGUACCCGCGGCAAGACGGAAAGACCCCGUGAACCUUUACUAUAGCUUGACACUGAACAUUGAGCCUUGAUGUGUAGGAUAGGUGGGAGGCUUUGAAGUGUGGACGCCAGUCUGCAUGGAGCCGACCUUGAAAUACCACCCUUUAAUGUUUGAUGUUCUAACGUUG